rnacentral:rRNA from 1 species
AGUGAACGCUGGCGGCAGGCCUAAUACAUGCAAGUCGAACGGCAGCACAGCAGAGCUUGCUCUGUGGGUGGCGAGUGGCGGACGGGUGAGGAAUACGUGGGAAUCUGCCCAGUCGUGGGGGAUAACGUAGGGAAACUUACGCUAAUACCGCAUGCGCCCUUCGGGGGAAAGCCGGGGACCUUCGGGCCUGGCGCGAUUGGAUGAGCCCACGUCGGAUUAGCUAGUUGGCGGGGUAAAGGCCCACCAAGGCGACGAUCCGUAGCUGGUCUGAGAGGAUGAUCAGCCACACUGGAACUGAGACACGGUCCAGACUCCUACGGGAGGCAGCAGUAGGGAAUAUUGGACAAUGGGCGCAAGCCUGAUCCAGCCAUGCCGCGUGAGUGAAGAAGGCCCUCGGGUUGUAAAGCUCUUUUGUCCGGAAAGAAAGCGCCGGGUUAAUACCCUGGUGUCCUGACGGUACCGGAAGAAUAAGCACCGGCUAACUUCGUGCCAGCAGCCGCGGU